rnacentral:rRNA from 1 species
UACGUAGGGUGCGAGCGUUGUCCGGAAUUAUUGGGCGUAAAGAGCUUGUAGGCGGUCUGUCGCGUCUGCUGUGAAAAUCCGGGGCUCAACCCCGGACUUGCAGUGGGUACGGGCAGACUAGAGUGUGGUAGGGGAGACUGGAAUUCCUGGUGUAGCGGUGAAAUGCGCAGAUAUCAGGAGGAACACCGAUGGCGAAGGCAGGUCUCUGGGCCACUACUGACGCUGAGGAGCGAAAGCGUGGGGAGCAAACAGG